rnacentral:rRNA from 2 species
AAGGGAAGAACACGUACGAGAGUAACUGCUCGUACCUUGACGGUACCUUAUUAGAAAGCCACGGCUAACUACGUGCCAGCAGCCGCGGUAAUACGUAGGUGGCAAGCGUUGUCCGGAAUUAUUGGGCGUAAAGCGCGCGCAGGCGGUUCUUUAAGUCUGAUGUGAAAGCCCACGGCUCAACCGUGGAGGGUCAUUGGAAACUGGAGAACUUGAGUACAGAAGAGGAAAGCGGAAUUCCACGUGUAGCGGUGAAAUGCGUAGAGAUGUGGAGGAACACCAGUGGCGAAGGCGGCUUUCUGGUCUGUAACUGACGCUGAGGCGCGAAAGCGUGG